GUGAGGAAAUUUCCGCAAUGGGCGAAAGCCUGACGGAGCAAUGCCGCGUGAAGGAUGAAGGCCUAUGGGUUGUAAACUUCUUUUCUCAGAAAAGAAUUAUGACGGUAUCUGAGGAAUAAGCAUCGGCUAACUCUGUGCCAGCAGCCGCGGUAAGACAGAGGAUGCAAGCGUUAUCCGGAAUGAUUGGGCGUAAAGCGUCUGUAGGUUGUUUAAAAAGUAUUCUGUCAAAGAUUAGGGCUUAACCCUAGAUAGGCAGAAUAAACUUUUAAGCUAGAGUUUGGUAGAGGCAGAGGGAAUUCCCGGUGGAGCAGUGAAAUGCGUAGAUAUCGGGAGGAACACCAAAGGCGAAGGCACUCUGCUGGGCCAAUACUAACACUGAGAGACGAAAGCGAGGGGAGCAAAUGGGAUUAGAAACCCCAGUAGUCC
rnacentral:rRNA from 1 species